rnacentral:other from 1 species
AAAGCCCUGCGAUGUGCGUGACUUCCGAUAGUUUUGAGCCACAACCCUUUUAAAGGGAGUUCUUGUCCGUGGCCGCAAUGACAUGCCUCCUUCGAGUGGAAGUUUGAAGCGGUCAGGCGGUACACCCACCUGCUAGUGCAGGUUCAAAACUGAGGAGCAACACGGCAUAAUGGGGCUUUU